rnacentral:rRNA from 1 species
AUGGGGUGCCUGCCGGGCAUGCGCAUGCAUGUCCAAUCAAAAUGCGACGCUGCAUGUGUCCCGAUGAAACGGCUCGACCAGAAUUAUGAGCCAAAUCAACCUGCUACUCUUGAUCGUCUCACAUGGCUGAAGCAUUGCCACUUGGGCCUCAGCCUCAUAAGUCAGACCCGAACAGGUACCGAGGAAAGAAAAGAAGAAAAAAAAGCCACCAGCGCCUCGCACGAGCACGACCCUGCCCCUCGAUCCCAUCUACACCUCCUUCCCGCCGCCACCUCCUGCCCCGCGCCGCCCGCCCCACACCGCCUCGAUCGGGACCGCGUCCCUCCCCAAACGACGGCAAUGAUGGAGGGCGCCGCCCAGCUCCUGGCCGACGGAUUCGCUGGCUCCCCGCACCUCGGGGCCAGCCCCUCCCCCGUGCCGAGUCGAGCAUCGACUUGGAGGCCCCUUGGGGCUGCCGCCGGUGCGGGAGUCCCACGCGGCCGUGCGGGCUGGGGACCGAUUGGCGGGGCCCGUGGUGCGACGCUCGAUGGAUGGCCUGCACAGCGCGGACGACUGCUUCUCUCCCAGGAGGGCCAUAGGCAGAUUGGUUCUUUGGUGCGUUUUUCUGGGUGUUUUUCUGGGUGGGCGGCCUCGCUGAAUUGGUUGCCUUUGUUUUUCUGUGCCCGUCUGUGUCGUCGGAUUGGAUGGCGUCGGUGCCGCCGCAGCCACUACAUGUCGGAGCUGUUGCAGGAGCACCAGAAGCUUGUCCUGUUCACACAGGUGCUACCAAUCUGCAUCAAACUGUUGGGCCACCGUGAGAGCCUCGAUUCGCUCCCUCGCCGCCGCCCGGUCUACCAUUAUUGGCCUAGGUCUGAUUGCUUAUGUUUCUCUCUUGUUGAUGCAAACUUGCUCUGCUUGACUCUGUUUUGGCCUCAAGGCAUCUCACUUGUCAUGACUCUGUUUUGGCCUCAAGGCAUCUCACUUGUCACAUAUUGUUAUCAACUCAGAGAAGAAAAAGGUUCCAUGAGGGUGUCUAUUACAGAACUGGAGAAAGAGCUCGCCUACCAUGCAUGUUGCCUGCUCGGCAACUUCCAGCCCCCCACCGUCUUUCUUGACAGCCACGACACCCAUCUUUUCGUCUAUGCCUCAUUGGAUGCACUUCCAUUCAACGCCCCCGAUGGAUCGACCAUGACCAUGUUGUUGCCUGGAAUCUUUUUUCAUGAUGAUGUCGCUAUUCGUCAUCCCACAGUUUAUGCGGUGGAGCGUCAACGACCUCAGCGUGUUGCAGGAGAAGACCAUGAAUAUCGGCAAGAAAGAUCAAUUGUUCACACCCUUGAUAUUUGUCACUGCCCUCUUCUCAUCUAUCCCGACAGUCUCGGUGUCCAGGCAAGUUCACGUGCUCUGUUAGAGACCAACCCCAAUGUGUAUGCUACAACCACUGAAAGAAGUUUUCUUGUGAAAAUUGAUGAUACCCCAAUGCAGAGCCUUUUGUAG